AUAAGUGGGUAAGAGCAUAUGGUGGAUGCCUUGGUGAUAAAAGGCGAUGAAGGACGUUGUAGGCUGCGAUAAGCUCCGGGUAGCCGUCAAACAGGUUUUGAUCCGGAGAUUUCCGAAUGGGGAAACCCUCUAUCUUUUAUAGGAUAGAAUUACUGUCUGAAUAUAUAGGAUAGUAAGGCAAACCGGGCGAACUGAAACAUCUAAGUAACCCGAGGAAAAGAAAUCAAAUCAGAGAUUGCCCUAGUAGUGGCGAGCGAACGGGUAAUAGCCCAAACCUAUUGGAUGUUAAAGCCUUCAGGUGUUGUUCAAUAGGGGUUAUAGGGAUUAUGGUGUGCAGCUGAGGAUGCACAUGAGAGUUACAAAACUAUUUAAUAGUAGAACAGUCUGGAAAGACUGGCCAUAGAAGGUAAAAGCCCUGUAAACGAAAUUAAGUAGACUCUCACAUGAUUUCCUGAGUACAACGGAACACGUGAAAUUCCGUUGGAAUUCGCAAGGACCAACUUGCAAGGCUAAAUACUUUUAUCAACCGAUAGUGAACUAGUACCGUGAGGGAAAGGUUAAAAGUACCCCGGAAGGGGAGUGAAAUAGAACCUGAAACCAUAUGCUUACAAGUAGUAGGAGGCGUUUUUAUAACGCUGACUGCGUGCUUUUUGUAGAACGAGCCUGCGAGUUACAGUAUGCAGCAAGGUUAAGCUGUGUAAGUGGAGCCGAAGCGAAAGCGAGUCUUAAUAGGGCGCCAUAGUUGUAUGCUGUAGACCCGAAGCCGGGUGAUCUAUCCAUGGCCAGGGUGAAGCGAAGGUAAAACUUUGUGGAGGCCCGAACCCACUAAGGCUGAAAACUUAGGGGAUGAGCUGUGGAUAGGGGUGAAAGGCCAAUCAAACCCGGAGAUAGCUGGUUCUCCUCGAAAUAGCUUUAGGGCUAGCCUCAAGUGUUUGAUUCUGGUGGUAGAGCACUGAAUGAACUAGGGACCUUACAAGGUUACCAAAUUCAAUCAAACUCCGAAUGCUGGAAUUUUAGAACUUGGGAGUCAGACUAUGAAGGAUAAGCUCCAUAGUCGAAAGGGAAACAGCCCAGACCAUCGGCUAAGGUCCCAAAAUAUAUACUAAGUGGCAAAGGAUGUGAGAAGGCAAAGACAACCAGGAUGUUUGCUUAGAAGCAGCAAUCAUUUAAAGAGUGCGUAACAGCUCACUGGUCAAGUGUUUUUGCGCCGAAAAUGUAACGGGGCUCAAGUAUAUUACCGAAGCCAUGGACUAUACUUUGUAUAGUGGUAGAGGAGCGUUCUGUAAGGAUUGAAGCUUAACUGGAAGGUUGGGUGGACUUUACAGAAGUGAGAAUGCAGGCAUAAGUAACGAAAGACAGGCGAGAAACCUGUCCGCCGAAUACCCAAGGUUUCCUGGGGAAGGUUAAUCCGCCCAGGGUUAGUCGAGACCUAAGCCGAGGCUGAAGAGCGUAGGCGAUGGAUAACAGGCUAAUAUUCCUGUACAAUUAAAUUACAUUAUCACCAAUGGGGUGACGCAGAAAGGUAGGUCAUCGUGGUUUGGUUGACUACGUGCAAGCGAGUAGGGUGCUGUCCAGGUAAAUCCAGACAGCAUUAAACCUGAGACGUGAUGCCGAUCCGAUUUAGGCGAAGUGAUUGAUCCUACACUGUCAAGAAAAACCUCUAGGGAGUAAUUUAAUUCUCGUACCAAAACCGACACAGGUAGGUAGGUAGAGAAUACCAAGGCGAUCGAGAUAACUCUUGUUAAGGAACUCGGCAAAAUAGCCCCGUAACUUCGGGAUAAGGGGUACCUUAGUAACGUGAAAGAACUUGCUUUUGUAGCGUGAAAAGGUUGCAAUAACCAGGCUCAAGCGACUGUUUACUAAAAACACAGGUCUCUGCUAAGUCGUAAGACGAUGUAUAGGGGCUGACGCCUGCCCGGUGCUGGAAGGUUACGAGGAGGGGUUAGGACUUCGGUCCGAAGCUUCGAAUCUAAGCCCCAGUAAACGGCGGCCGUAACUAUAACGGUCCUAAGGUAGCGAAAUUCCUUGUCGGGUAAGUUCCGACCUGCACGAAUGGCGUA
rnacentral:rRNA from 1 species